UACGUAGGGUGCGAGCGUUGUCCGGAAUUAUUGGGCGUAGAGAGCUUGUAGGCGGUUUGUCGCGUCUGCUGUGAAAAUCCGGGGCUCAACCCCGGACUUGCAGUGGGUACGGGCAGACUAGAGUGUGGUAGGGGAGACUGGAAUUCCUGGUGUAGCGGUGAAAUGCGCAGAUAUCAGGAGGAACACCGAUGGCGAAGGCAGGUCUCUGAGCCACUACUGACGCUGAGAAGCGAAAGCAUGGGGAGCGAACAGG
rnacentral:rRNA from 1 species